rnacentral:lncRNA from 1 species
UUUAAUGUUUUCAAAUAUGUUCCUCUGGUUUGUUACCAUUAGAGAACUAUUAGAGAACUAAUAUUUUUAAUUUUGUAAUCACAAAUAUAUCCCUUCAAAAAUUAUAAUAGUAUAAUAUAAGAGAAGUAAAAAUAUAAAAAAUAAACCAGUGUUAAGUAUUUAACGUAUUGUUAACUAAAAUUUUCUAACAGAUUCUAAAGGUAGGGACAUAUUUGAAAACAUUAGGACUUCUGUAGGGACAAUAUAUGAAAGUUGAACUUUGAUAGGAAUAUAUUUGUUAUUCACUAUAUUUGCAGAGACCUAUAUGAAAUUAACCCUAUUUUUUGUAUGUUAGAAUAUAAAAAAAAUAAAAUAAAAUUGGGGGGCAUUUGAAGCUCUAUAAAAUUAUACAGAUUACAGAAUACAUGCGAUGAAAAUGA